GAUGAACGCUAGCGGCAGGCUUAACACAUGCAAGUCGAGGGGUAGAAGAAGCUUGCUUCUUUGAGACCGGCGCACGGGUGCGUAACGCGUAUGCAAUCUACCUUUCACAAAGGGAUAGCCCAGAGAAAUUUGGAUUAAUACCUUAUAGUAAUACGACUUGGCAUCAAGAUGUAUUUAAAGAUUUAUCGGUGAAAGAUGAGCAUGCGUCCCAUUAGCUAGUUGGUAUGGUAACGGCAUACCAAGGCUACGAUGGGUAGGGGUCCUGAGAGGGAGAUCCCCCACACUGGUACUGAGACACGGACCAGACUCCUACGGGAGGCAGCAGUGAGGAAUAUUGGACAAUGGGCGCAAGCCUGAUCCAGCCAUGCCGCGUGCAGGAUGACGGUCCUAUGGAUUGUAAACUGCUUUUAUACAGGAAGAAACACCUCUACGUGUAGAGACUUGACGGUACUGUAAGAAUAAGGAUCGGCUAACUCCGUG
rnacentral:rRNA from 1 species